GUAGGUGAACCUGCGGAAGGAUCAUUACAGUAUGAUUAGGGGGGCUUGUCGCUGGCUUCGGCAUGUGCGCGCCCCUCGCCUUCUAUUCCAUACACACCUGUGCACCUAUGGGGCGAGCGUCUCCCUUGAUUGGAGCCGUCCUGCGCGAGCGGGGCUGAGGCGCUCCCUCUUUUACUACAGCCAUCUUAACGCAUGUCUUGCGCUCCACGGAGCGAAAUGUUAAUACAACUUUCAACAACGGAUCUCUUGGCUUUC
rnacentral:misc_RNA from 1 species